CCUCGCUCCCGCGCCGCUGCUCCGCGCCCCCCGCCUCUGUCGCCCGGCCCCGGGCGGGGGGUGCUGGCGGCGAGGUGGACGCGAGGCCGCCGGGCCCGGGGAGGUGGUGCGCUGGCCGCGGGUGGUGGAUCGCGGGUGGCGGAGGAGUCGGUCAAGGGGCCGCGCGCUGGUGGGGACGGGGCGAGGCGCGCAGAAUCACCGGGCUCCAGGAGCCGAUCUUGCGAGGGCGGGAGGCCUCCCCCCAGACGCCAGCCCCUUUCUGCUCCAUUUGCGAGAACACUCAGUACUCUUAACCUCCUGGCCUCCGGUCUCUGGUGGGCUUUCCCUCCCGUUGGAGCAUUCAUCCCGGAGCCCCCUCCCCUUCCCUCCGCGCACUCCUCCCAUAGAGGCGGUCCCAGCGCUGUGAGGUCUGCUGCCCGGGACCCAGAGGAUGCCCCUUGCUGGCAGGGUCUUUGCCCUGAGGGAUGAGACACAGAAAUUAUCCAGGCGGACUUUGAUUCCCAGAGUGGCCCCCUAGUGCAAUUCGAUCGACAGACUGACUCGUGGGCAGGCUGCUCAAACCACUCCUCCAGAUGGUUGCAACUUUCUCUUCUUCGACGUCGCCCCCUGCGUGUUUGUGCGUUAUCUUCAUGAGUGAAAAGUAGGCUGCUGUUCUUUGACAGGGUUGUGAGUUUUGUGGGAAAUAGCCGCGUAAAGGUUACUGCAAACACUCGCCAGAUCGGUUGCAAUUGUUUUCUAAGUUUUUUGGCUUCUUGUAGGCAUGUGUGCCUCCACCAGAUGUAGCAGUUACAUAGCUAGUUAAGGCACUGAGUGCUUUUUGACUAAAAUUUCAACUUGCUGUAUUUAAGUAUACAACAUAAAAUGGAAUUUGGGAGAACGAUCAUUUAUGAAGGAAGAAUAAAUGUGUAUCACAUCUCGUUUAACGCUCUUUUGUCUGGGAAACGAGUAGCGGUAUUCAUCAGCAAUUGGUAAAUGGGUUGUUCACUCCCAGUUGUCUCACACAAGGAGAUUAUAGGCACAUUAAAAAAAAAAAAAGUCCAACACCCCAGAAAACCUUUUAAAGAAACCAAGAGCUUCUACUUAUGUAGGAAUCGGUGGAAUUAAUUUAUCUUUGAAAAUAUCUGCCCAUAUUUACUAUUCAGAGCUUUGACAAUUGUUAAUCAAGUGUUUUGUGCCCUGAAUCCAGUGGUUCUGGCAUAGCAUUCUUUGUCAUUUUGUUCCUGUGAGCAUGUGUGAAAGUGACAAUAGGCUCAAAGAUUGGCAUUGAAUAUGCUGUAGAAAAUUCAGGGAAAGGUUUGAUUUGUGGCAUCCAUUAAACAUGGCCACUACAUUGACAGACAUUUUUUCCUUUCAUCUCAUCCCCAACACUGAUUUUCAUUAUUAGAAUAGAUAAAAGCUCAUUCAUUGAAUGACUCAAAUUUAACCCAACUGAUUUUUUCUUUUGAAAAUUUUAACUAUUUUAAAAUGUAUUUUGUGAAUAAGGCCAGUUUUUUAAAGCAUAUUUUUAUUUUUGUUUAUAGUUUCAUUAAAAUGUGUAGUGAUAGUGUUGUGAGUUGAGAAAGAUCAUUCUACUAUUUUUUAAACACUGCAAUUUUUUUUUAUCAUUCAUUCAUUUCUAUAGUGUUUAUUAGCCUUUAUUAUGAGCCAGGACCUGUGCUAAGUGCUGAGGACAUAGUGCUGAGUAGCUGUCAGUUAACAUCUGUUACAGACUGGAAUUUAGGAGACACAAAAUCUAGAUUGUAAGAUUUUGAGGUAACUUCCACUCUGUUAAGUUUCUAAUUUGUUUGUUCUUUUUCGCCUCAGUACUUUUUCUGAUGUUUGAAAAACUUUUAAGAGGUUUCAACUUCCAAAUAACCAGAACUAUUUCCAGGCAUUUAGUUUGCUAUAGAUAUUUUGUAACUUACAGUGUCAUGAAAUGAGACUAAAUUUUGUGAAAGUGAACAUCACACCAAGUUGUGUGUGUGUGUGUGUGUGUGUGUGUGUGUGUGUUUUGGGGUGAUAGGGAUUGAACCAGGGCCUUGUGCAUGGUAGACAAGUGCUCUACCACUGAGCUACAGCCCCAGCCCCACACCAGAUACUGUACUUGUGUGGCCACAGGGGAGAGGUUUUGUUUUUUUUUUUUUUUUUUUUGACUAACCAGCAUGUAAGUUAAAACUGUGUUAAUGCUCUAGGAUUGUAUAUUCAUUUCAAGGAUUCAAGCUGUAUGCUCAGAUUUCACUGAUGCUAACAGGAACUGUAUAUAUGAAAUGAAGUUCCAGCUUUCAAGAUGGGAGUUGUUUUCUAUUGAGCAGAAUCCUAGUUUUUUCCUUGAUAAGUGUGUGUUAGUACCUUUGGAGGUGUGUCUGUUAAUAUGUUGCAUAAAUUGAUGGGAUUUGAGAGCUUUUAAACCUGAGAACCUUUGAAUUCAGGUGACUGCUGUGUUAGUAACUUAAAGGCAUGUGAAAGAACUGAAUGUAUCAAAGCGAAAACAGACUUGUUUCUUGAAAAGUGAACCCAAUUUAGCCUAUAGUAAUGGAAAAAUGUAAAUUUAAAAGAGAUACAUAUGUAUGUAUGCUAAUAUAUUUGUGGUCAGUUCCUUUUAAGCAAAUUAACUUUAAAAAUGAGUUAAAGAAGGGGCUGGGGAUUUAGCUUGGCGGCAUAAGCCCCUGCCUUGCAAGCAGGCAGUCGUGAGUUCGAUCCCUGGUACCGAUAAAAACAAAAAAGAAAAAAAAAUGAGUUAAAGAUAUGUCAUAACUGUAAAAGUUAUUUAUUUUGAAGUUUUCACAUAUUUAAAACAAAACAGAUUUUUAUUUUUAUUGUUUGUUUAUUUAUUUAUUUAUUUUUGGUACUGGAGAUCAGACUCUCAACUAUGCGCUUGCCAGGCAGGUGCUUAUGCUGCUAAGCUACAUUUCUGGCAAAACAUUUUUAAUGCUAUUUAUUUUGGCUUUCUUUUCUUAUCUUCCUAUUAAUAUGAUUUUGCUUGAUUUAUAAAUUAAAUAUAGCUUUAACUAUUAAAAGAGAGAUGUUAGAAUUUAGGAAUUUGUAUGAUUUUUUUUGAUACCAGGGAUCAAACUUACGACCUCGCGGAAUUUGUAUGAUUUGUCCAUCAGUGAUGGUGAACCUUUUGGAGCUUUCAGAUGGCAACAAACAAGUGUCAUAGGUUCACCACCAUUGGUAUAGACUAUUUUCUUUCCUCUGGGUCUGAAAGCUUAUUCUUUAUUAACCUUGAAGUUUUGUUAGAAGUGCUCAGCAGUUAUUGCUCUAGAUUUUAGUCUUUUGAACCUGUAAUCUCUAUCCCAUUUUGCUUUGUCUUCUGUAAUUCUGUGGUUAAAGUGGAGAAGGAAAAAAGUAACUAAGUUUUUAGUCAGUUUUAUUUGUUGAAGUCUAGGAACCUAGUGCCAUUUUGGCUAGAUAAGAUGAGCUUUUGGUCUUUCUUUCUUUCCUUUUUUUUUAAAUGUCAGUGCAUGAGUAUUUUAACAGGUUAUUAUUAAGAAUUAAAUGAUUGACUUUACAAAGUAAAAUUUGCAUUUUCUUUCCUAUUUCAUCUUGCCAGGUAUGAAUAAUUUGUUGUUGUUUUUUUAAUAGUGGAAGUAGUUUGUUCCAAAAGAUGGCAUCAUAGUACAGUUAAACUACUUCCUUUUUUUCUACAUUUGAAGCCUGCAUUUCUUAGCUAGAAAAAUUAAAAUACUGUAUGAUUUGACUUGAUUGAGUACCUGUAGGGAGAUGUUAAAAAUAAAAAUGUACCAGAUGGUUCUGCAGGCCUUUGGUUUGUUGAAAUCACUAGCUAGCUGGGCAUGAGAGCUCAAGCCUAAAUCCUAGUGCUGCUCUCUGAGCUUGAGGUAGGAAGAUCCCAAGCCUAGCUUGGAAUUUAUUGACUUAGUAAGACUCUGUCUCUUUUCCCCCAGAAAAGAGAUGGGACUGUGGCUCAAUGGUAAGGCCCUGGGUUCAGCCCCCAGAACCUUGAAGACAUGGGGGAAAAGAAAUCACAAACCAGAAGAGAACAGAAUUGUUAUUAAGGGUUUUAGAUCUGGAAAUCUCAUGAGAUACAGGCUGUAGUUUAGCUUGUUAGGUCUCAGGACCUCUUUUUUUUUUUUUUUUUUUUUGUCUUUUGUCUUUUUCCUUUUUAUCGGUACCAGGGAUCAAACUCAUGACUACCUGCUUGCAAGGCAGGCGCUUAUGCCGCUGAACUAAAUCCCCAGCCCUGGUCUCAGGACCUCUUUAUCUCAAACGUUGUUGACGAGAUUUUGUUUAGGUGAGCUAAUGGCUAUUAAUAUUUGCUAUAUAUAAUACUAGGAAUUUUAAAAUUAAUUUACUUAAAGAAUAUUAACUCAUUGCAUGCUAUUUAUGUAAAGAAUAAGUAUGUUCUAGAACAAAAAUUUAGUGCAAUUAGUGUCAUUUUAUAUUUUUUGCAAAUAAUUUUGAAUUCUGACUUAUUAAAAGACAAUUAUAUUUUGCUUCUGCUUUCAGUCUGUUGCAAUAUAUAUUUUGUUUGAAGUAUGUGAAGAGAAUCCACCUUCAUAUAGAUAGGUAUUUGGAAAAGGAAGAAUUUAAUAGUCUUUUCAUGAUGUUCUUCUCAGGUAGUACAUCCUACGUUAACAAAUAGAAAUUUUUAUAAAAGGUAGUUGGCAAUGUAGAAGUACUUGUACAUCAAAACUCCAGGACCUAAAGGAAAUCUGUGGACAUGUACCUGAAAGAGACGAAAAGACUCAAGACCUCACACUUGCCAGGAAGCUCUGGGCCAUAACAAACAUUAGAAUUUGAGCAAAGAAUUUUACCUCACCUAUACAAGAGCAAUCUCCUUGUUAUAGAGGCUGUAUAACCUGAUGGGU